rnacentral:rRNA from 1 species
GACGAAAGCUGGCGGCGUGCUUAACACAUGCAAGUCGAACGAGUGGCGAACGGGUGAGUAACGCAUCGGAACGUACCGAGUAAUGGGGGAUAACUGUCCGAAAGGACAGCUAAUACCGCAUAUUAUUCGAGCGGCCGAUGUCUGAUUAGCUGGUUGGCGGGGUAAAGGCCCACCAAGGCGACGAUCAGUAGAGGGUCUGAGAGGAUGAUCCGCAAAACUGGGAUGGAGCUAAGGCCCCGACUCCUACGGGAGGUAGCAGUGGGGAAUGUUGUACAAUGGGCGCAAGCCUGAUCCAGCCAGGCCGAGUGUCUGAAGAAGGCCUUCGGGUUGUAAAGGACUUUUGUCAGGGAAGCGGUACCGGAAGAAGAAGCACCGGCUAACUACGUGCCAGCAGCCGCGGUAAUAC